AGGGUAGUAGCUCCAACGGUAGAGCGGAUGAUUCCAAAUCAUUAGGUUGUGGGUUCGAAUCCUACCUACCCUGCCA
rnacentral:tRNA from 1 species